GAUGAACGCUGGCGGCGUGCCUAAUACAUGCAAGUCGAGCGAACAGACGAGGAGCUUGCUCCUUUGACGUUAGCGGCGGACGGGUGAGUAACACGUGGAUAACCUACCUAUAAGACUGGGAUAACUUCGGGAAACCGGAGCUAAUACCGGAUAAUAUUUCGAACCGCAUGGUUCGAUAGUGAAAGAUGGCUUUGCUAUCACUUAUAGAUGGACCUGCGCCGUAUUGGCUAGUUGGUAGGGUAACGGCUUACCAAGGCAACGAUACGUAGCCGACCUGAGAGGGUGAUCGGCCACACUGGAACUGAGACACGGUCCAGACGCCUACGGGAGGCAGCAGUAGGGAAUCUUCCGCAAUGGGCGAAAGCCUGACGGAGCAACGCCGCGUGAGUGAUGAAGGUCUUCGGAUCGUAAAACUCUGUUAUUAGGGAAGAACAAACGUGUAAGUAACUGUGCACGUCUUGACGGUACCUAAUCAGAAAGCCACGGCUAACUACGUG
rnacentral:rRNA from 1 species